rnacentral:lncRNA from 1 species
AGCGGUCCUGUGUGCUGGGUUCCCAGCAGUUAUGUUGCUGUGCAACCCUUACUUCUUGAAAUAAUGCCAAUUUCAAUACCGAAAUCUUGAAUAAUUUCUUUUUCCUCUCAGGGAGAGGGGAAGGUUACGACCCACAACUCUGUCUUUUGGGGGAUGUCAUUUACCCACCUCAAUUUAAGCCACUUUAGGGCUGAAGUGCCUCCAACCUUCCUGAGAUACGGGGCAACGACGGCAUUUCAUUAGGCCACCUACAAAGUGAAAUAUAAAGACCAUGAAGCUCCCACAAGAUACUGCGGUGUGUGCUGUACAAAAGUUUAUUAGCUACACCGGGAUAUGAUAAAAACAUUCUCCUCCCAGUUUUGGAGGGAAAUUGGGUAUUGGCUUGUGAAUCCCCCGCCGAGGUGCAAAGAACUACAUCAUCCGUUUCUAAGCAGCUGAGACAGCAAAAUCCAGAAGGUAAUUUAGAGUAUUGCAGCAGAAGUCUUCAACAGAGUUUAAUUAAAGUGUUCUGGUGAUCUGAAGAUAUCCAUAACCCAGCGCUAAAAUUAAAGAAGUCCCCGUCCACAGAAUUUGUUCUCAGGCUCCCGAUGCCAGUUGGCGCCGUUGUGCGUAAAUACAUAUCACCUGUGUAAAUCUCCAGUUAAUGGCCAAAAUACAGCAUGGUUGUUCAACCACCUCCAAGGAAGCGAUGCAACGCCAAGAUAGGAGGCACCUGGUCCCAGCUGGUUGAUUCAGAUCACAGGAGUGAGGCGUUCUCUGCCUAAGAUUUCUGUGCGCUUGAUGGAGAGAAUGAGGACAAGAGAGAAGCUUCACGGGGAACAAAAUUACAGAACUUCAGCUGAAAAGCAUUGGUCCAAGUUUUGGCAUGAAGACAUUUCUCUGGGACAUGUUCACUACGUGGGCUGAAAAUUAUCUUGGGUUAAACUGGUAAAAGGCAGCCUCUGCUUUAAAAUCCCUCCCAAAUAUCCUGAUUCUCAAGGCAAUUUAUUGCUGGGAGUCAUGCUGAAAGGUGUUUACUGGCAGAGGGGAAUAAAAAAACAAAUAUAGAACA